rnacentral:rRNA from 1 species
GGGGCAGCAGUGAGGAAUUUUGCGCAAUGGGGGAAACCCUGACGCAGCAACGCCGCGUGAGUGAAGAAGGCCCUUGGGUCGUAAAGCUCUGUCAACUGGGAAGAAAUUAUUUUGUUUUAAUAGUAUGUUGUAUUGACGGUACCAGUAGAGGAAGCACCGGCUAACUCCGUGCCAGCAGCCGCGGUAAUACGGGGGGUGCAAGCGUUAUUCGGAAUUAUUGGGCGUAAAGGGCGCGUAGGCGGUUUUGUCGGUCAGAUGUGAAAGCCCGGGGCUCAACCCUGGAAGUGCAUUUGAAACAGCAAGACUUGAGUACGGGAGGGGAAAGCGGAAUUCCUGGUGUAGAGGUGAAAUUAGUAGAUAUCAGGAGGAACACCGAUGGCGAAGGCAGCUUUCUGGACCGAUAUUGACGCUGAGGCGCGAAGGCGUGGGUAGCAAACAGGAUUAGAUACCCCGGUAGUCCACGCAGUAAACGAUGUUCACUAGGUGUAGCGGAUAUUAAAAUCUGCUGUGCCGCAGCUAA